GACGAACGCUGGCGGCGUGCCUAAUACAUGCAAGUUGAGCGCUGAAGGUUGGUUCUUGUACCAACUGGAUGAGCAGCGAACGGGUGAGUAACGCGUGGGGAAUCUGCCUUUGAGCGGGGGACAACAUUUGGAAACGAAUGCUAAUACCGCAUAAAAACUUUAAACACAAGUUUUAAGUUUGAAAGAUGCAAUUGCAUCACUCAAAGAUGAUCCCGCGUUGUAUUAGCUAGUUGGUGAGGUAAAGGCUCACCAAGGCGAUGAUACAUAGCCGACCUGAGAGGGUGAUCGGCCACAUUGGGACUGAGGCACGGCCCAAACUCCUACGGGAGGCAGCAGGAGGGAAACUUCGGCAAUGGACGAAAGUCUGACCGAGCAACGCCGCGUGAGUGAAGAAGGGUGUCGGAUCGGAAAACUCUGUUGGUAGAGAAGAACGUUAGUGAGAGUGGAAAGCUCAUCAAGUGACGGUAACUACCCAGAAAGGGACGGCUAACUACGUG
rnacentral:rRNA from 1 species